rnacentral:rRNA from 1 species
UUUGAUGGCGACCGGCGCACGGGUGAGUAACACGUAUCCAACCUGCCGAUGACUCGGGGAUAGCCUUUCGAAAGAAAGAUUAAUACCCGAUGGCAUAGUUCUUCCGCAUGGUAGAACUAUUAAAGAAUUUCGGUCAUCGAUGGGGAUGCGUUCCAUUAGGUUGUUGGCGGGGUAACGGCCCACAAGCCUUCGAUGGAUAGGGGUUCUGAGAGGAAGGUCCCCCACAUUGGAACUGAGACACGGUCCAA